GACUGGGUGCGAGAGUGGUUAUUCGGGUGGACUUGAAAUCCACUGCCUUAUUGGCGCGCAGGUUCGAAUCCUGUCCCAGUCG